CAGUAGCCGCGGGAAUACAGAGGGUGCGAGCGUUAAUCGGAUUUACUGGGCGUAAAGCGUGCGUAGGCGGCUUCUUAAGUCGGAUGUGAAAUCCCUGAGCUUAACUUAGGAAUUGCAUUCGAUACUGGGAAGCUAGAGUAUGGGAGAGGAUGGUAGAAUUCCAGUUGUAGCGGUGAAAUGCGUAGAGAUCUGGAGGAAUACCGAUGGCGAAGGCAGCCAUCUGGCCUAAUACUGACGCUGAGGUACGAAAGCAUGGGGAGCAAACAGGAUUAGAUACCCCCGUAGUCCCUGUCUCUUAUAC
rnacentral:rRNA from 1 species